rnacentral:rRNA from 1 species
CAGAGCCACGGUAAUGCGUAGGGUGCAAGCGUUAAUCGGAAUUACUGGGCGUAAAGCGUGCGCAGGCGGUUUGUUAAGACAGAUGUGAAAUCCCCGGGCUCAACCUGGGAACUGCAUUUGUGACUGGCAAGCUAGAGUGUGGCAGAGGGGGGUGGAAUUCCGCGUGUAGCAGUGAAAUGCGUAGAUAUGCGGAGGUACACCGAUGGCGAAGGCAGCCCCCUGGGCCAACACUGACGCUCAUGCACGAAAGCGUGGGGAGCAAACAGGAUUAGAUACCCGCGUAGUCCCUGUCUCUUAUACC